rnacentral:rRNA from 1 species
AGCUGGCGGCGUGCCUAAUACAUGCAAGUUCGAAUCGACGGGAGCUUGCUCCCUGAGAUUAUCGGCGGACGGGUGAGUAACACGUGGGCAACCUGCCUAUAAGACUGGGAUAACUUCGGGAAACCGGAGCUAAUACCGGAUACGUUCUUUUCUCGCAUGAGAGAAGAUGGAAAGACGGUUUACGCUGUCACUUAUAGAUGGGCCCGCGGCGCAUUAGCUAGUUGGUGAGGUAAUGGCUCACCAAGGCGACGAUGCGUAGCCGACCUGAGAGGGUGAUCGGCCACACUGGGACUGAGACACGGCCCANACUCCUACGGGAGGCAGCAGUAGGGAAUCUUCCGCAAUGGACGAAAGUCUGACGGAGCAACGCCGCGUGAACGAAGAAGGCCUUCGGGUCGUAAAGUUCUGUUGUUAGGGAAGAACAAGUACCAGAGUAACUGCUGGUACCUUGACGGUACCUAACCAGAAAGCCACGGCUAACUACGUGCCAGCAGCCGCGGUAAUACGUAGGUGGCAAGCGUUGUCCGGAAUUAUUGGGCGUAAAGCGCGCGCAGGUGGUUCCUUAAGUCUGAUGUGAAAGCCCACGGCUCAACCGUGGAGGGUCAUUGGAAACUGGGGAACUUGAGUGCAGAAGAGGAAAGUGGAAUUCCAAGUGUAGCGGUGAAAUGCGUAGAGAUUUGGAGGAACACCAGUGGCGAAGGCGACUUUCUGGUCUGUAACUGACACUGAGGCGCGAAAGCGUGGGGAGCAAACAGGAUUAGAUACCCUGGUAGUCCACGCCGNAAACGAUGAGUGCUAAGNGNUAGANGGUUUCCGCCCUUUAGUGCUGCAGCUAACGCAUUAAGCACUCCGCCUGGGGAGUACGGCCGCAAGGCUGAANUCAAAGGANUUGACGGGGGNC